AGAGCGAACGCUGGCGGCAGGCUUAACACAUGCAAGUCGAGCGGCCGUAGCAAUACGGCAGCGGCAGACGGGAGAGUAACACGUGGGAACGUGCCUAUCAGUUCGGAACAACCCAGGGAAACUUGGGCUAAUACCGGAUACGCCCUUACGGGGAAAGAUUUAUCGCUGAUAGAGCGGCCCGCGUCUGAUUAGCUAGUUGGUGAGGUAACGGCUCACCAAGGCGACGAUCAGUAGCUGGUCUGAGAGGAUGAUCAGCCUCACUGGGACUGAGACACGGCCCAGACUCCUACGGG
rnacentral:rRNA from 1 species